UAGCUACAUCAAUCAGUAGUUAGAUUUUUUGAUUUUUUUUUUUUAAUUUCAGAAACAGUGUUACUACUCUGCAUAUUCCAGAAAUUUGAAUAAAAACCUUAAGGAUAAAGAAAUGGAAAAUACUAUGUGCUAUCCACUUGGCUUCAGCAGGUUUGGGAAUAAAGACAAAGCAUGCCAAGCCUGUGACUGGAAAUGUGUGUUUUUAAGAAGGAGCAUCUGAUUUUCAGAGGAUUUUGGAGUACAGAGGCACUGACAUCUCUUUAAAAAGGAGUGGGAACGCAGCCCCUAAGUCUCCCAGGACCCUGUCUGAAACCGUGGGAUGGCAGGUGGUGUGAAAGGACCAGGGGGAACACAAACCAGUUCAGUUUGUCCUGCCAAAUGGCCUGGCCCCAAGUCUUGCCUUUCUGCUUGGGUGUGCUUCAGUGAGCAGCUCUCUACAGACACAGACAGGCGAGGAGGAUCAGCUUGGCAGAUGCUGCCUGUGGUUGUACUCACCUUUCCACAGAGGUUGAGAGGCUGCUGCUCUUCAGGACAGAAUCUUCAUCUCUAG
rnacentral:lncRNA from 1 species